rnacentral:rRNA from 1 species
UUGAACGCUGGCGGCAGGCUUAACACAUGCAAGUCGAGCGGGGGAAGGUAGCGUGCUACCGGACCUAGCGGCGGACGGGUGAGUAAUGCUUAGGAAUCUGCCUAUUAGUGGGGGACAACAUCUCGAAAGGGAUGCUAAUACCGCAUACGUCCUACGGGAGAAAGCAGGGGAUCUUCGGACCUUGCGCUAAUAGAUGAGCCUAAGUCGGAUUAGCUAGUUGGUGGGGUAAAGGCCUACCAAGGCGACGAUCUGUAGCGGGUCUGAGAGGAUGAUCCGCCACACUGGGACUGAGACACGGCCCAGACUCCUACGGGAGGCAGCAGUGGGGAAUAUUGGACAAUGGGGGGAACCCUGAUCCAGCCAUGCCGCGUGUGUGAAGAAGGCCUUAUGGUUGUAAAGCACUUUAAGCGAGGAGGAGGCUACUUUAGUUAAUACCUAGAGAUAGUGGACGUUACUCGCAGAAUAAGCACCGGCUAACUCUGUGCCAGCAGCCGCGGUAAUACAGAGGGUGCGAGCGUUAAUCGGAUUUACUGGGCGUAAAGCGUGCGUAGGCGGCUUAUUAAGUCGGAUGUGAAAUCCCCGAGCUUAACUUGGGAAUUGCAUUCGAUACUGGUGAGCUAGAGUAUGGGAGAGGAUGGUAGAAUUCCAGGUGUAGCGGUGAAAUGCGUAGAGAUCUGGAGGAAUACCGAUGGCGAAGGCAGCCAUCUGGCCUAAUACUGACGCUGAGGUACGAAAGCAUGGGGAGCAAACAGGAUUAGAUACCCUGGUAGUCCAUGCCGUAAACGAUGUCUACUAG